ACGAACGCUGGCGGCGUGCUUCACACAUGCAAGUCGAACGGUGAAGCGCCUUCCUUUUUGGUGGGUGUGGAUGAGUGGCGAACGGGUGAGUAACACGUGAGUAACCUGCCCCCUUCUUCUGGAUAACCGCAUGAAAGUGUGGCUAAUACGGGAUAUUCUGGGUCUGUCGCAUGAUGGGUCUGGGAAAGAUAUUGUUUCGGUGGGGGAUGGGCUCGCGGCCUAUCAGCUUGUUGGUGGGGUGAUGGCCUACCAAGGCGGUGACGGGUAGCCGGCCUGAGAGGGUGGACGGUCACACUGGGACUGGGACACGGCCCAGACUCCUACGGGAGGCAGCAGUGGGGAAUAUUGCACAAUGGGCGCAAGCCUGAUGCAGCGACGCCGCGUGAGGGAUGGAGGCCUUCGGGUUGUGAACCUCUUUCGCCAGUGAAGCAGGCCUGCCUCGUUUGUGGGUGGGUUGACGGUAGCUGGAUAAGAAGCGCCGGCUAACUACGUG
rnacentral:rRNA from 1 species